rnacentral:rRNA from 1 species
AAAUUGAAGAGUUUGAUCAUGGCUCAGAUUGAACGCUGGCGGCAGGCCUAACACAUGCAAGUCGAACGGUAACAGGAAGCAGCUUGCUGCUUUGCUGACGAGUGGCGGACGGGUGAGUAAUGUCUGGGAAACUGCCUGAUGGAGGGGGAUAACUACUGGAAACGGUGGCUAAUACCGCAUAACGUCGCAAGACCAAAGAGGGGGACCUUCGGGCCUCUUGCCAUCAGAUGUGCCCAGAUGGGAUUAGCUUGUUGGUGAGGUAACGGCUCACCAAGGCGACGAUCCCUAGCUGGUCUGAGAGGAUGACCAGCCACACUGGAACUGAGACACGGUCCAGACUCCUACGGGAGGCAGCAGUGGGGAAUAUUGCACAAUGGGCGCAAGCCUGAUGCAGCCAUGCCGCGUGUAUGAAGAAGGCCUUCGGGUUGUAAAGUACUUUCAGCGGGGAGGAAGGUGUUGUGGUUAAUAACCACAGCAAUUGACGUUACCCGCAGAAGAAGCACCGGCUAACUCCGUGCCAGCAGCCGCGGUAAUACGGAGGGUGCAAGCGUUAAUCGGAAUUACUGGGCGUAAAGCGCACGCAGGCGGUCUGUCAAGUCGGAUGUGAAAUCCCCGGGCUCAACCGGGAACUGCAUUCGAAACUGGCAGGCUUGAGUCUUGUAGAGGGGGGUAGAAUUCCAGGUGUAGCGGUGAAAUGCGUAGAGAUCUGGAGGAAUACCGGUGGCGAAGGCGGCCCCCUGGACAAAGACUGACGCUCAGGUGCGAAAGCGUGGGGAGCAAACAGGAUUAGAUACCCUGGUAGUCCACGUCGUAAACGAUGUCUACUUGGAGGUUGUGCCCUUGAGGCGUGGCUUCCGGAGCUAACGCGUUAAGUAGACCGCCUGGGGAGUACGGCCGCAAGGUUAAAACUCAAAUGAAUUGACGGGGGCCCGCACAAGCGGUGGAGCAUGUGGUUUAAUUCGAUGCAACGCGAAGAACCUUACCUGGUCUUGACAUCCACGGAAGUUUUCAGAGAUGAGAAUGUGCCUUCGGGAACCGUGAGACAGGUGCUGCAUGGCUGUCGUCAGCUCGUGUUGUGAAAUGUUGGGUUAAGUCCCGCAACGAGCGCAACCCUUAUCCUUUGUUGCCAGCGGUUAGGCCGGGAACUCAAAGGAGACUGCCAGUGAUAAACUGGAGGAAGGUGGGGAUGACGUCAAGUCAUCAUGGCCCUUACGACCAGGGCUACACACGUGCUACAAUGGCGCAUACAAAGAGAAGCGACCUCGCGAGAGCAAGCGGACCUCAUAAAGUGCGUCGUAGUCCGGAUUGGAGUCUGCAACUCGACUCCAUGAAGUCGGAAUCGCUAGUAAUCGUGGAUCAGAAUGCCACGGUGAAUACGUUCCCGGGCCUUGUACACACCGCCCGUCACACCAUGGGAGUGGGUUGCAAAAGAAGUAGGUAGCUUAACCUUCGGGAGGGCGCUUACCACUUUGUGAUUCAUGACUGGGGUGAAGUCGUAACAAGGUAACCGUAGGGGAACCUGCGGUUGGAUCACCUCCUUACCUUAAAGAA